CCGAGGGGGCGGGCAGGGGUCGGAGGGACGCCCACUCGACGGUUCGCCUUCCUCCCCCGCAACCCCGGGGCAGAGCCGACCAAGCUUCGGACCUCCAGAUGUGUUCUCAGCCUCCCCUUCCCGUAGCAGUCUCUUACCUGGUGAGCUGGCUCCCCUCUAGUCAUGGAGUGUCCCCUGAAAACUCUGGGUCACAGAGGAUGGAUUUGAGAUCUGCUGGCUCCAAGUGAUGAGGAAAGAUGUUCUGUUCUCCUUGGCUUGUCCUCAAAACCCAGUCACAAAAGGUGGAUAAGCUGAAUAAGUUCAGGCUCAGGGCCUUCGAAUGCAGCCCUCACCUCAGAGUUUCUCAAGAGAAAUCAAGUCCCAGGACCAUGGAAUAUCAGAGGAGCGAGGAAAGGAAAUCCAUUUUUCAUUCAGUGAGUAUAUUCAGAGUAUGUCCACCUGUGUCAGAAAGUGAAACCUACCGCUUGCUGCCUGGCGUCGCCCCUCGGCUCCUCACCAAGCUGGCUUAUAUCUGAGCCCCACAGCCCAGCCUCCACCUCUGCACCGGGAGGGCCGCCUAGCAGGCAGUCCUCAGGGCGCCCACUGUUGAGCCUGGUGCCCUUUCCUCUGUUCUUGCCCUCACUUCCUCUUACAACAUGGAACACCUGAUCUCACUCUGCCACCACCUUUCUCCUCCUUCGGCUUCCUGGGUGUUUACACUCUUCUGUCAUCCUCUCAUCUUCCUUCUCAGUCUCUGCUUCUUAUCUCCUAAUAUGAGCUGAAUUGUUCCCCCCCUCAAAUUCAUAUGUUGAAGUCCGAACCUCCAAUACCUCAGAAUGUGACCAUAUUUG